rnacentral:lncRNA from 11 species
AUGGCCAUCCACAUUCACACUUCCUCCAGCAGACAAGAGCUCUUUCUCCCACCCUGGACAUUAUUCCACAGAUAUAUAAACCUCACUUGUCUAGUUAAUAAUAAUAAUAAUAAUAAUAAUAAUAAUAAUAAUAAUAAUAACAACUUUAUUUUUAUACCCCGCCCCAUCUCCCCGAAGGGACUCGGGGCAGCUUACAUGGGGCCUAGCAGGACCCCAGACUGCAGACCUGUGUCCUCAGGGGGAGUGUAACCCCGUUGUGCACAGGUUGCCACCCUAUACUCCAAUCGGCUUCAGCUUGUUAGCCCUCAUCCAGCCCAUCACAGCGGCCAGGCUACUGGUCCAGGAUCCAAGGGACUUCCUAGGAAUUUGGUGGAAAAGCGUAGAGAUGGCACCAAAGUCUAAAUCUCCGGAUGACCUUGCCUAGCAGUUUCAUGUAGAUGUUAAUAGCAUGGGGGAUAUAAUAGAACCUUGUGGGACCCCACAGGUCAAAGGCCAGGGGUCUGAGCAGGAAUCCCCCAGCUUCAUCCACUGGGUGCGACUCUCCAGGAAGGAGUGGAGCCACUGCAGUGCCCUGCCCCCCAGGGCCCCUUCCGGACAGCCGCCCCAGAAGGAUACCAUGAUUGAUGGCAUCGAAAGCCACUGAGAUGUCCAAGAGAACCAACAAGGACACACUCCCCAUGUCAAGUUCUGUGCGGAGGUCAUCCACCAUGGUGACCAAAGUCUUGUAUAUUAUACAUACUUAAUCUGCUAUCUUUUUCAAUCAUCCCCUCUUUUUGCCACUACACCACCUUUCUGCUAUCCCAUAUUUCUUAUAUGAGGGGUUUAACCACAUUAGCCACAUUAUUUAAAAUAAAUAUGAAUCGGUACUCAAAUUUUAAAUCACCAAGUUUACUUAACAUUCUUCUUGCUCUUAUAUUACCAAACAACCCCCUCCCCUUUCUCUUCCACUUGGUCCCAAAAUUUUCUUUUAGCCAUAGACGAUGGGGAUUCCCUUUUUUCAGCUGCUUUUGAGAGUUCUGUAUUUGCCAAUAGGGAGUGGAGAUUUGAUUUGACAUCUUCUUUAGACUCCUGAUAUCUUUUGAGGUAUCCCUCACCUUAAUUUGAAUUUUUUCCCCUCUGUAUAUUUUGUCUCUUGAUUUUUGCCAGGAGUCCAUUCUGUGGUGGUGCCUUCUGAGUUCCCGCUCCUUUUCGUUGUGCAUUUUCUUCCAUUUUUCCUGAUUUAUGUGGCUCCUCUUGUUCACUUAUCUGCUCCUCUUCUUCAGGGGCCAGGUCUGUCUUCCUCAAAUUGGUAUUUAAUGGUUUCUUUUGAGAUACUGCUUCCUGGUCUUUGGUUUGUCCAUCUUUCUUUUUUUCUGACACAUUUAAUUCCCUUGGUUCAUAUCCCUGUCCUUCCUCCUCCAGGACCAAAUCUGCCUUCUUCAAGUUGGUAUUAAAUUGUUCAAGCUUGGUGUUAGCAUUAUUGAUUAUUCUAUUGAAUAUUUCCAUCUGUGUCAUUAUUUGCAUCCAUCUAAUGUGCUUUUUCUUCAUUUUAAGUAAGUUCAUUAUGAAAAUACAGGUGUUCUACUUAUUUGUUAUCCGCUGGAUGUCGUAUUUCAACAAGUUUUCACUUAAAUGUGUUUUAUAAGUAAAUCCCUAUAUUUGGCGAUGCUCUCAGAAAGUGUUAUUGUAAACAACCUGAAUUAUUUAACUGCAGUCAAGGUCAUUCUAAGAAAAUGACUCUAUCUGUACUUUCACUUUAAUCCAACAGAUUCACUUUAAUCUCACUAAUUACUAUUCAUUAUUUGUUGAGUUUAAGUUUGUAUCUAUAAAUUUGGAAAUUAAAAAUUAUACUUUCCUCCAUCAUAGGGUAAUAGUCCUCAAUUACUUGCCGAUCUUUAAAAGUUGGUCAUUUCAUUGAUUUCUUUACAGUCUCUCCCAAUGUUUUCCUUUGAAGUUCAUCCAAAAUAAAUUUCUCUUAAAUAAAUCCUAGGUCCCAAGUGUCUUGAAGGGUCUUAAAGGGAAGGGAUUUAUUCAUACGCUUGACAGUUUAGCUGGAAAAUAGUUUUUUUUAUUGUAUCAGAAGCGACUUGAGAACAUACUGCAAGUCGCUUCUGGUAUGAGAGAAUUGGCCGUCUACAGAGACGUUGCCCAGGGCGAUGCCCGGAUGUGUUGCCAUCCUGCUGGGAGGCUUCUCUCACGUCCCUGUAAGCUAGAGCUGACAGAUGGGAACUCACCCUGGCUCGGGAUUGGAACCAGCAACCUUCAGGUCAGCAACCCAACCUUCAGGUCAGCAGUCCAGCUGGCGCAAGGGUUUAGCCCAGGGUCCUCAAACUUUUAAAGCAGAGGGCCGGUCUACAAUCCUUCACUGUUGAGGGGCCUAAUUAUCAUUUGGGGGGGGGGGGGGAAACGAACAAAUUCCUGUGCACGCUGCACAUAUCGUAUUUGUAGUGCAAAACAACAACAAUAACAAUGAAAGAACAAUACAAUAUUUAAAAAUGAAAAUAAUUUUAACCAACAUAAACCUAUCAGGAUUUCAAUAGGAAGUGUGGGCCUGCUUCUGGCCAGUGAGAUAGUCAGGUUAAUAGGAUUAUGUGUGUGUGUCCUCAAGUCAUUUCAGACUUUGGGCGAGCUUCUGGCUGUGCCCACUUCUGCAAGCAAUUUCAGACUUUGAGCGAGUCCAAAAUUAUUUAUUUAUUCAUUUACUACAUUUAUUUACUACAUUUAUAUCCCACCCUUCUCACCCCAAAAGGAACUCAGAGCAGCUAUAUCUACAUACAGAAUAUUAUAUUAUUAGCAUAGCACAAUAUUAGCAUUAUAUAUUACUGUAUUGAACUAUACCA